rnacentral:rRNA from 1 species
GACAGGGGGGGCAAGUGUUAUUCAGAAUGACUAGGCGUAAAGGGCAUGUAGGCCGUUUUCUCGAAUGAGAGUGAAAUCCACCAGCUUAACUGGUGAACUGCUCUUCUAUAACGAAAAGACUAGAGUAAGAUAGAGGAAAGUGGAAUUUCGUGUGUAGAGAUAAAAUUCACAGAUAUACGAAGGAACACCAAGAGCGAAGGCAACUUUCUGGAUCUUUACUGACGCUGAGGUGCGAAAGCAUGGGGAGCAAACAGG